UUAGGGUUUAGUGUUUUGUUGACAACAUUUUUUUUUUUUGAAUUCGUUUUUUAUAUAUUAUUUUUAUUUAUUUUUAAAUUUUAUUUUGAAAAAAUAAUAUAAUUUGACAAGUUAUUUGGUUUCCUUAAUUAAAAGAUACUAGAUUUAAAAUGAAAAUUUUCUAUUGGUUGGUGAACCUAAAGGUUCAUAGGGGGUGAACCCAAGAAUAACUCGAAAACGAAACCUUCACGCUGAUUAUCCAAAAGAAAAAGGAAGACUUUGUUUCAAAAGAUACCGGACUUUAGGUUGAAAAUGA
rnacentral:lncRNA from 1 species